AUUGAACGCUGGCGGCAGGCCUAACACAUGCAAGUCGAACGAGUGGCGGACGGGUGAGUAAUGUCUGGGAAACUGCCCGAUAGAGGGGGAUAACUCCUGGAAACGGUAGCUAAUACCGCAUACCAUCGGAUGUGCCCAGAUGGGAUUAGCUAGUGGGUGGGGGAACGGCUAACCGAGGCGACGAUCCCUAGCUGGUCUGCGAGGAUGACCAGCCAGACUGGAACUGAGACACGGUCCAGACUCCGACGGGAGGCAGCAGUGGGGAAUAUUGCAAAAGGGGCGAAAGCCUGAUGCAGCCAUGCCGCGUGUAUGAAGAAGGCCUUCGGGUGGUAAAGUACUUUCAGCGAGGAGGCGUUACUCGCAGAAGAAGCACCGGCUAACUCCGUGCCAGCCGCCGCGGUAAUAC
rnacentral:rRNA from 1 species